UACGGAGGGAGCUAGCGUUGUUCGGAAUUACUGGGCGUAAAGCGCACGUAGGCGGUUAUUCAAGUCAGAGGUGAAAGCCCGGGGCUCAACCCCGGAACUGCCUUUGAAACUAGAUGACUAGAAUCUUGGAGAGGUCAGUGGAAUUCCGAGUGUAGAGGUGAAAAUUCGUAGAUAUUCGGAAAGAACACCAGUGGCGAAAGGCGACUGACUGG
rnacentral:rRNA from 1 species